AUGAAUUUUAUACACAGAUAGCAAUGUUCUUUUCCACUUUUCAAGGACUCUGCACAUUUCAAUCAAUGGAUUUUCAGUACAUUCCAAAGUUCCAAAUAUCCACUUUUCAAUCACUACUUAAAAGAUUAGGAAAAAUCAGUCAGGCGCAUAUUGUAUGCAAAAUUUCCCAGGUAUUUGCUCUGUAUGAAUGCAAUGCCACCUGCCACAAAGCCACCAUGAAUAUGCCUUCAAAGCUUCCCCUCGCUACUUAUAAGAACCUUCAAAACUUUGAUGUUCAUGCAGAAGAAUGUCACGGUGAUAGAAAACACAUAAGGUAAUCACAAGCCUUUAGAAAGUUACAAGCAAUAUGAGAUGAAUCAGUAUCCACAUGUAUAUAUAAAAUAGGCAUAAAUGUUACAGCCAUUUUACAUUGCAGUUCUCACCAUGCUAUACAAGAACAUAUAACAGUUUCAUAUUUCCUUUGGAAUUUUCU
rnacentral:lncRNA from 1 species